rnacentral:rRNA from 3 species
GUGACCUCGGAUCAGGUAGAA